GACGAACGUUGGCGGCGUGCUUAAUACAUGCAAGUCCACUGAAGCAGUGGUAGCAAUCUCGCUGUGGAGGUGGCGCACGGGUGAGUAACACGUAGGUAAUCUGCCUUCAGGUCUGGCAUAACUCCGGGAAACCGGGGCUAAUAGCAGAUGAUGCAGCGGCUCGACAUCGAGGCAGUUGUUAAAGCUAUGGCGCCUGAAGAUGAGCCUGCGUCUGAUUAGCUAGUUGGCGGGGUAACGGCCCACCAAGGCAACGAUCAGUAGCUGGUCUGAGAGGAUGAUCAGCCACACUGGAACUGAGACACGGUCCAGACUCCUACGGGAGGCAGCAGUAAGGAAUAUUGCUCAAUGGGAGAAAUCCUGAAGCAGCAACGCCGCGUGAGGGACGAAGGGCUUUUGCUUGUAAACCUCUGUAGUGAGAGAAAAAAAUCCCAAUCUUUGGGACAUGAUGGUAUCUCAAAAGUAAGCCCCGGCUAACUACGUG
rnacentral:rRNA from 1 species